rnacentral:rRNA from 1 species
UUUAUGGAGAGUUUGAUCCUGGCUCAGGAUGAACGCUGGCGGCGUGCCUAAUACAUGCAAGUCGAGCGAACGGACGAGAAGCUUGCUUCUCUGAUGUUAGCGGCGGACGGGUGAGUAACACGUGGAUAACCUACCUAUAAGACUGGGAUAACUUCGGGAAACCGGAGCUAAUACCGGAUAAUAUUUUGAACCGCAUGGUUCAAAAGUGAAAGACGGUCUUGCUGUCACUUAUAGAUGGAUCCGCGCUGCAUUAGCUAGUUGGUAAGGUAACGGCUUACCAAGGCAACGAUGCAUAGCCGACCUGAGAGGGUGAUCGGCCACACUGGAACUGAGACACGGUCCAGACUCCUACGGGAGGCAGCAGUAGGGAAUCUUCCGCAAUGGGCGAAAGCCUGACGGAGCAACGCCGCGUGAGUGAUGAAGGUCUUCGGAUCGUAAAACUCUGUUAUUAGGGAAGAACAUAUGUGUAAGUAACUGUGCACAUCUUGACGGUACCUAAUCAGAAAGCCACGGCUAACUACGUGCCAGCAGCCGCGGUAAUACGUAGGUGGCAAGCGUUAUCCGGAAUUAUUGGGCGUAAAGCGCGCGUAGGCGGUUUUUUAAGUCUGAUGUGAAAGCCCACGGCUCAACCGUGGAGGGUCAUUGGAAACUGGAAAACUUGAGUGCAGAAGAGGAAAGUGGAAUUCCAUGUGUAGCGGUGAAAUGCGCAGAGAUAUGGAGGAACACCAGUGGCGAAGGCGACUUUCUGGUCUGUAACUGACGCUGAUGUGCGAAAGCGUGGGGAUCAAACAGGAUUAGAUACCCUGGUAGUCCACGCCGUAAACGAUGAGUGCUAAGUGUUAGGGGGUUUCCGCCCCUUAGUGCUGCAGCUAACGCAUUAAGCACUCCGCCUGGGGAGUACGACCGCAAGGUUGAAACUCAAAGGAAUUGACGGGGACCCGCACAAGCGGUGGAGCAUGUGGUUUAAUUCGAAGCAACGCGAAGAACCUUACCAAAUCUUGACAUCCUUUGACAACUCUAGAGAUAGAGCCUUCCCCUUCGGGGGACAAAGUGACAGGUGGUGCAUGGUUGUCGUCAGCUCGUGUCGUGAGAUGUUGGGUUAAGUCCCGCAACGAGCGCAACCCUUAAGCUUAGUUGCCAUCAUUAAGUUGGGCACUCUAAGUUGACUGCCGGUGACAAACCGGAGGAAGGUGGGGAUGACGUCAAAUCAUCAUGCCCCUUAUGAUUUGGGCUACACACGUGCUACAAUGGACAAUACAAAGGGCAGCGAAACCGCGAGGUCAAGCAAAUCCCAUAAAGUUGUUCUCAGUUCGGAUUGUAGUCUGCAACUCAACUACAUGAAGCUGGAAUCGCUAGUAAUCGUAGAUCAGCAUGCUACGGUGAAUACGUUCCCGGGUCUUGUACACACCGCCCGUCACACCACGAGAGUUUGUAACACCCGAAGCCGGUGGAGUAACCUUUUAGGAGCUAGCCGUCGAAGGUGGGACAAAUGAUUGGGGUGAAGUCGUAACAAGGUAGCCGUAUCGGAAGGUGCGGCUGGAUCACCUCCUUU